AACGCAUAUUGCGCUGCGACAGUCAAUGUCGCAGCAUGCCUGGUCGGGUAUCUGUUCCAAACCUCUCAUAUACUCUUUAUUUUUUGUUCUAACCAAACAAAAAAUGGAGUGUUGAAAGGUCUCUCUCAGAGCAAAAAAAAAAACCUUUUUGUUCUGAGGAAACUUGGAAUGAUGAGAGUCAACAUAAGAAGAAUUUAAACACUCUUCUGUGCCGUCUCUUUAAAUACAUCGACAAACCCCUCGUUUUUCUAAAACCCGCCUUAGUGGUAUGACCUCUUUGUACAUACAUAUACACGUAUAUAUUGGUCAGGACACGCCCCAUGUGGUAAACACCUCAUGGCCACUGUUCUUUUCCUCUAUAUGUACAUGUAUACAAAGUAAUUUUGUACCCUUUUCCGGAUUAGAUCUCGGCUCAGGCAAGGCUACCCGCUGAAUUUAA
rnacentral:misc_RNA from 1 species